CCUACGGGAGGCAGCAGUGAGGAAUAUUGGUCAAUGGUCGGGAGACUGAACCAGCCAAGCCGCGUGAGGGAUGAAGGUACAGAGUAUCGUAAACCUCUUUUGUCAGGGAACAAAGGCGGGGACGUGUCCCCGGAUGAGUGUACCUGAAGCAAAAGCAUCGGCUAACUCCGUGCCAGCAGCCGCGGUAAUACGGAGGAUGCGAGCGUUAUCCGGAUUUAUUGGGUUUAAAGGGUGCGCAGGUGGGCUGUUAAGUCAGCCGUCAAAGGCCGGGGCUCAACCCCGGCCCCGCCAUUGAUACUGGCAGUCUUGAGUUGGAGAGAGGUAUGCGGAAUGCGCGGUGUAGCGGUGAAAUGCAUAGAUAUCGCGCAGAACUCCGAUUGCGAAGGCAGCAUGCCGGCUCCACACUGACGCUGAGGCACGAAAGCGUGGGUAUCGAACAGGAUUAGAUACCCGUGUAGUC
rnacentral:rRNA from 1 species